CCGGAUGUGAGGAGCAAGAGCGGAACACAUGCAUGUUUCCAAACAUUCUUCGGAGAAAUUCUAUCAAUGCAGCGGGGGAGGAGGUGGUGAUCCAUAUGGUACGCUGUGGAUCGGUGGCCAUGAGCUGUGGUGUUGCAGAGGGGGAGGUGGUGGUGAGCCAUAUGGUACUCCAUGGACAGGUGGCCAUGGCCCGGGGUAGUAAGGUGGUGGUGGUGGUGGUGACAAUGCUGGUGUUGCGCCGCCGCAGGGUGGCGGCGGCGGUGGUGGUGGCGGCAGCUCCGGACAUGGCGGAUGCGGUUGUGGCGCGGGUGGUGGCGGCGGCGGCGGCGGCUGCGGUGGGUGGAAGAUUGGUGCAGGCGGUGGAGGCGAUGGUGGCGGUGGAGAUGGCGGUGGUGGUGAAGGCGGAGGCGG
rnacentral:lncRNA from 1 species